GACGAACGCUGGCGGCGCGCUUAACACAUGCAAGUCGAGCGAAAACCAGGGCUUCGGCUCUGGGGACAGCGGCGAACGGGUGAGUAACACGUGGAUAACCUGCCCUCGGCACCGGGAUAGCCCGGGGAAACUCGGAUUAAUACCGGAUAGCCCUUCCGACUCUCGAGUCGGUCCGAAAAGGUGCUUCGGCCUCUGGCCGAGGAUGGGUCCGCGGCGGAUUAGCUUGUUGGUGGGUAACGGCCUACCAAGGCUU
rnacentral:rRNA from 1 species